AGCGUACACGGUGGAUGCCCUGGCAGUCAGAGGCGAUGAAGGACGUGCUAAUCUGCGAUAAGCGUCGGUAAGGUGAUAUGAACCGUUAUAACCGGCGAUUUCCGAAUGGGGAAACCCAGUGUGUUUCGACACACUAUCAUUAACUGAAUCCAUAGGUUAAUGAGGCGAACCGGGGGAACUGAAACAUCUAAGUACCCCGAGGAAAAGAAAUCAACCGAGAUUCCCCCAGUAGCGGCGAGCGAACGGGGAGCAGCCCAGAGCCUGAAUCAGUGUGUGUGUUAGUGGAAGCGUCUGGAAAGGCGCGCGAUACAGGGUGACAGCCCCGUACACAAAAAUGCACAUGCUGUGAGCUCGAUGAGUAGGGCGGGACACGUGGUAUCCUGUCUGAAUAUGGGGGGACCAUCCUCCAAGGCUAAAUACUCCUGACUGACCGAUAGUGAACCAGUACCGUGAGGGAAAGGCGAAAAGAACCCCGGCGAGGGGAGUGAAAAAGAACCUGAAACCGUGUACGUACAAGCAGUGGGAGCACGCUUAGGCGUGUGACUGCGUACCUUUUGUAUAAUGGGUCAGCGACUUAUAUUCUGUAGCAAGGUUAACCGAAUAGGGGAGCCGAAGGGAAACCGAGUCUUAACUGGGCGUUAAGUUGCAGGGUAUAGACCCGAAACCCGGUGAUCUAGCCAUGGGCAGGUUGAAGGUUGGGUAACACUAACUGGAGGACCGAACCGACUAAUGUUGAAAAAUUAGCGGAUGACUUGUGGCUGGGGGUGAAAGGCCAAUCAAACCGGGAGAUAGCUGGUUCUCCCCGAAAGCUAUUUAGGUAGCGCCUCGUGAAUUCAUCUCCGGGGGUAGAGCACUGUUUCGGCAAGGGGGUCAUCCCGACUUACCAACCCGAUGCAAACUGCGAAUACCGGAGAAUGUUAUCACGGGAGACACACGGCGGGUGCUAACGUCCGUCGUGAAGAGGGAAACAACCCAGACCGCCAGCUAAGGUCCCAAAGUCAUGGUUAAGUGGGAAACGAUGUGGGAAGGCCCAGACAGCCAGGAUGUUGGCUUAGAAGCAGCCAUCAUUUAAAGAAAGCGUAAUAGCUCACUGGUCGAGUCGGCCUGCGCGGAAGAUGUAACGGGGCUAAACCAUGCACCGAAGCUGCGGCAGCGACGCUGAUGCGUUGUUGGGUAGGGGAGCGUUCUGUAAGCCUGCGAAGGUGUGCUGUGAGGCAUGCUGGAGGUAUCAGAAGUGCGAAUGCUGACAUAAGUAACGAUAAAGCGGGUGAAAAGCCCGCUCGCCGGAAGACCAAGGGUUCCUGUCCAACGUUAAUCGGGGCAGGGUGAGUCGACCCCUAAGGCGAGGCCGAAAGGCGUAGUCGAUGGGAAACAGGUUAAUAUUCCUGUACUUGGUGUUACUGCGAAGGGGGGACGGAGAAGGCUAUGUUGGCCGGGCGACGGUUGUCCCGGUUUAAGCGUGUAGGCUGGUUUUCCAGGCAAAUCCGGAAAAUCAAGGCUGAGGCGUGAUGACGAGGCACUACGGUGCUGAAGCAACAAAUGCCCUGCUUCCAGGAAAAGCCUCUAAGCAUCAGGUAACAUCAAAUCGUACCCCAAACCGACACAGGUGGUCAGGUAGAGAAUACCAAGGCGCUUGAGAGAACUCGGGUGAAGGAACUAGGCAAAAUGGUGCCGUAACUUCGGGAGAAGGCACGCUGAUAUGUAGGUGAAGCGACUUGCUCGUGGAGCUGAAAUCAGUCGAAGAUACCAGCUGGCUGCAACUGUUUAUUAAAAACACAGCACUGUGCAAACACGAAAGUGGACGUAUACGGUGUGACGCCUGCCCGGUGCCGGAAGGUUAAUUGAUGGGGUCAGCGCAAGCGAAGCUCUUGAUCGAAGCCCCGGUAAACGGCGGCCGUAACUAUAACGGUCCUAAGGUAGCGAAAUUCCUUGUCGGGUAAGUUCCGACCUGCACGAAUGGCGUAAUGAUGGCCAGGCUGUCUCCACCCGAGACUCAGUGAAAUUGAACUCGCUGUGAAGAUGCAGUGUACCCGCGGCAAGACGGAAAGACCCCGUGAACCUUUACUAUAGCUUGACACUGAACAUUGAGCCUUGAUGUGUAGGAUAGGUGGGAGGCUUGGAAGUGUGGACGCCAGUCUGCAUGGAGCCGACCUUGAAAUACCACCCUUUAAUGUUUGAUGUUCUAACGUUGACCCGUAAUCCGGGUUGCGGACAGUGUCUGGUGGGUAGUUUGACUGGGGCGGUCUCCUCCUAAAGAGUAACGGAGGAGCACGAAGGUUGGCUAAUCCUGGUCGGACAUCAGGAGGUUAGUGCAAUGGCAUAAGCCAGCUUGACUGCGAGCGUGACGGCGCGAGCAGGUGCGAAAGCAGGUCAUAGUGAUCCGGUGGUUCUGAAUGGAAGGGCCAUCGCUCAACGGAUAAAAGGUACUCCGGGGAUAACAGGCUGAUACCGCCCAAGAGUUCAUAUCGACGGCGGUGUUUGGCACCUCGAUGUCGGCUCAUCACAUCCUGGGGCUGAAGUAGGUCCCAAGGGUAUGGCUGUUCGCCAUUUAAAGUGGUACGCGAGCUGGGUUUAGAACGUCGUGAGACAGUUCGGUCCCUAUCUGCCGUGGGCGCUGGAGAACUGAGGGGGGCUGCUCCUAGUACGAGAGGACCGGAGUGGACGCAUCACUGGUGUUCGGGUUGUCAUGCCAAUGGCACUGCCCGGUAGCUAAAUGCGGAAGAGAUAAGUGCUGAAAGCAUCUAAGCACGAAACUUGCCCCGAGAUGAGUUCUCCCUGACUCCUUGA
rnacentral:rRNA from 1 species